GUUGUUUUAGGACAAAAACGCCCUCCUCCAGGCUAGAUGGACGUCAUGGCUACAAUAUGUGUCUCACAUUUUAUUGUCUCGAAUAUAUAGUUACACACAAGGUUGUUUUUAUUGAUCUCAGUUUGUCAGAUCAGCCUGCCAUGUUGUGGUAUUAUAAUCAGUGUCUGUAGGUGUCUCUGUGUCUCUGUGUCUCUGUGUCUCUGUGUGCCUCUGUGUCGGUGUCUGUGUGUAUGGCUGUGUGUGUGUGUUGCUGUCUCUGUGUGUCUGUGGGUGUCUCUGUGUGUCUGUGUCUCUGUGUGUGUGUGUCUCUGUGUCUCUGUGUCUCUGUGUCUCUGUAUCUCUGUGUCUCUGUGUCUCUGUGUCUCUGUGUCUCUGUGUGUCUGUGUCUCUGUGUCUCUGUGUCUCUGUGUGUCUGUGUCUCUCUGUGUGUGUGUGAAGGUGUCUCUGUCUCUCUGUGUCUCUGUGUGUCUGUGUCUCUGUGUGUGUGUCUGUAGGUGUGCAUGUGUCUCGGUGUGUCUGUGGGCGUCUCUGCGUCUCUAUGUGUCUGUAGGUGUCUCUGCGUCUCUGUGUGUCUGUAGGUGUCUCUGUGUGUUUGUGUCUCUGCGUCUCUGUGUGUCUGUAGGUGUCUCUGUGUCUCUGUGUGUCUGUGUGUCUCUGUGUGUCUGUGUCUGUAGGUGUCUCUGUGUGUAUGUGUGUCUCUGUGUGUCUGUGUCUCUCUGUGUCUGUAAGUGUCUCUGUGUCUGUGGGUGUCCCUGUGUCUGUGGGUGUCUCUGUGUCUCUGUGUCUCUGUGUCUCUGUGUCUCUGUGUGUCUGUGUGUGUCUGUGUGUGUGUCUGUAGGUGUCUGUGUGUGUGUCUGUAGGUGUCUGUGUGUGUGUCUGUAGGUGUCUGUGUGUAUGGCUGUGUGUGUGUCUGUGUGUCUGUGUGUAUGGCUGUGUGUGUGUCUGUGUGUAUGGCUGUGUGUGUGUCUGUGUGUCUGUAGGUGUCUGUGUGUGUCUCUGUGUGUGUCUGUGUGUAUGGCUGUGUGUGUGUCUGUGUGUCUGUAGGUGUCUGUGUGUGUCUCUGUGUGUGUCUGUGUGUAUGGCUGUGUGUGUGUCUGUGUGUCUGUAGGUGUCUGUGUGUGUGUCUGUGUGUGUCUGUGUGUCUGUAGGUGUCUCUAUGUGUGUCUGUAGGUGUCUCUAUGUGUGUCUGUGGGUGUCUCUGUGUGUCUGUAGGUGUCUGUGUGUGUGUCUGUAGGUGUCUCUCUGUGUGUCUGUAGGUGUCUGUGUGUGUGUCUGUAGGUGUCUCUCUGUGUGUCUGUAGGUGUCUGUGUGUGUGUCUGUAGGUGUCUGUGUGUGUGUCUGUAGGUGUCUCUCUGUGUGUCUGUAGGUGUCUCUCUGUGUGUCUGUAGGUGUCUGUGUGUGUGUCUGUAGGUGUCUGUGUGUGUGUCUGUAGGUGUCUAUGUGUGUGUCUGUAGGUGUCUGUGUGUAUGGCUGUGUGUGUGUCUGUGUGUCUGUAGGUGUCUGUGUGUGUCUCUGUGUGUGUCUGUGUGUAUGGCUGUGUGUGUGUCUGUAGGUGUCUGUGUGUGUCUCUGUGUGUGUCUGUGUGUAUGGCUGUGUGUGUGUCUGUGUGUCUGUAGGUGUCUGUGUGUGUCUCUGUGUGUGUCUGUGUGUGUCUGUGUGUCUGUAGGUGUCUCUAUGUGUGUCUGUAGGUGUCUGCGUGUGUGUCUGUAGGUGGCUGUGUGUGUGUGUUGGUGUCUCUGUUAGAGGUCAACCGAUUAAUUAGGGCCGAUUUCAAGUUUUCAUAACAAUCGGUAAAUCUUUUUUUUUUUUUUACACCUCUAUU
rnacentral:lncRNA from 1 species